UUUAUGGAGAGUUUGAUCCUGGCUCAGAGUGAACGCUGGCGGCGUGCCUAAUACAUGCAAGUCGAACGAUGAAGCUUCUAGCUUGCUAGAGUGCUGAUUAGUGGCGCACGGGUGAGUAACGCAUAGGUUAUGUGCCUCUUAGUUUGGGAUAGCCAUUGGAAACGAUGAUUAAUACCAGAUACUCCCUAUGGGGGAAAGAUUUAUCGCUAAGAGAUCAGCCUAUGUCCUAUCAGCUUGUUGGUAAGGUAAUGGCUUACCAAGGCUAUGACGGGUAUCCGGCCUGAGAGGGUGAACGGACACACUGGAACUGAGACACGGUCCAGACUCCUACGGGAGGCAGCAGUAGGGAAUAUUGCUCAAUGGGGGAAACCCUGAAGCAGCAACGCCGCGUGGAGGAUGAAGGUUUUAGGAUUGUAAACUCCUUUUGUUAGAGAAGAUAAUGACGGUAUCUAACGAAUAAGCACCGGCUAACUCCGUGCCAGCAGCCGCGGUAAUACGGAGGGUGCAAGCGUUACUCGGAAUCACUGGGCGUAAAGAGCGCGUAGGCGGGAUAGUCAGUCAGGUGUGAAAUCCUAUGGCUUAACCAUAGAACUGCAUUUGAAACUACUAUUCUAGAGUGUGGGAGAGGUAGGUGGAAUUCUUGGUGUAGGGGUAAAAUCCGUAGAGAUCAAGAGGAAUACUCAUUGCGAAGGCGACCUGCUGGAACAUUACUGACGCUGAUUGCGCGAAAGCGUGGGGAGCAAACAGGAUUAGAUACCCUGGUAGUCCACGCCCUAAACGAUGGAUGCUAGUUGUUGGAGGGCUUAGUCUCUCCAGUAAUGCAGCUAACGCAUUAAGCAUCCCGCCUGGGGAGUACGGUCGCAAGAUUAAAACUCAAAGGAAUAGACGGGGACCCGCACAAGCGGUGGAGCAUGUGGUUUAAUUCGAAGAUACACGAAGAACCUUACCUAGGCUUGACAUUGAGAGAAUCCGCUAGAAAUAGUGGAGUGUCUAGCUUGCUAGACCUUGAAAACAGGUGCUGCACGGCUGUCGUCAGCUCGUGUCGUGAGAUGUUGGGUUAAGUCCCGCAACGAGCGCAACCCCCUUUCUUAGUUGCUAACAGGUCAUGCUGAGAACUCUAAGGAUACUGCCUCCGUAAGGAGGAGGAAGGUGGGGACGAUGUCAAGUCAUCAUGGCCCUUACGCCUAGGGCUACACACGUGCUACAAUGGGGUGCACAAAGAGAAGCAAUACUGCGAAGUGGAGCCAAUCUUCAAAACACCUCUCAGUUCGGAUUGUAGGCUGCAACUCGCCUGCAUGAAGCUGGAAUCGCUAGUAAUCGCAAAUCAGCCAUGUUGCGGUGAAUACGUUCCCGGGUCUUGUACUCACCGCCCGUCACACCAUGGGAGUUGUGUUUGCCUUAAGUCAGGAUGCUAAAUUAGCUACUGCCCACGGCACACACAGCGACUGGGGUGAAGUCGUAACAAGGUAACCGUAGGUGAACCUGCGGUUGGAUCACCUCCUUU
rnacentral:rRNA from 1 species